GACGAACGCUGGCGGCGUGCUUAACACAUGCAAGUCGAACGGAAAGGCCCUGCUUUUGUGGGGUGCUCGAGUGGCGAACGGGUGAGUAACACGUGAGUAACCUGCCCUUGACUUUGGGAUAACUUCAGGAAACUGGGGCUAAUACCGGAUAGGAGCUCCUGCUGCAUGGUGGGGGUUGGAAAGUUUCGGCGGUUGGGGAUGGACUCGCGGCUUAUCAGCUUGUUGGUGGGGUAGUGGCUUACCAAGGCUUUGACGGGUAGCCGGCCUGAGAGGGUGACCGGCCACAUUGGGACUGAGAUACGGCCCAGACUCCUACGGGAGGCAGCAGUGGGGAAUAUUGCACAAUGGGCGGAAGCCUGAUGCAGCAACGCCGCGUGCGGGAUGACGGCCUUCGUGUUGUAAACCGCUUUCGCCUGUGACGAAGCGUGAGUGACGGUAAUGUGUAAAGAAGCACCGGCUAACUACGUG
rnacentral:rRNA from 1 species